UACGGGGGGGGCAAGCGUUGUUCGGAAUUACUGGGCGUAAAGGGCUCGUAGGGGGCCAACUAAGUCAGACGUGAAAUCCCUCGGCUUAACCGGGGAACUGCGUCUGAUACUGGAUGGCUUGAGUUUGGGAGAGGGAUGCGGAAUUCCAGGUGUAGCGGUGAAAUGCGUAGAUAUCUGGAGGAACACCGGUGGCGAAGGCGGCAUCCUGGACCAACACUGACACUGAGGAGCGAAAGCCAGGGGAGCAAACGGG
rnacentral:rRNA from 1 species